rnacentral:rRNA from 1 species
AGAGUUUGAUCCUGGCUCAGGAUGAACGCUGGCGGCGUGCUUAACACAUGCAAGUCGAACGAACCUUCGGGUUAGUGGCGGACGGGUGAGUAACGCGUGAGAAUCUGCCCUCAGGAGGGGGAUAACGGUUGGAAACGACCGCUAAUACCCCAUAUGCCGAUAGGUGAAAUGAAUUUCGCCUGAGGAUGAGCUCGCGUCUGAUUAGCUUGUUGGUGAGGUAAUGGCUUACCAAGGCUUCGAUCAGUAGCUGGUCUGAGAGGAUGAUCAGCCACACUGGGACUGAGACACGGCCCAGACUCCUACGGGAGGCAGCAGUGGGGAAUUUUCCGCAAUGGGCGAAAGCCUGACGGAGCAACGCCGCGUGAGGGACGAAGGCCUCUGGGCUGUAAACCUCUUUUCUCAAGGAAGAAGAUAUGACGGUACUUGAGGAAUAAGCCACGGCUAAUUCCGUGCCAGCAGCCGCGGUAAUACGGGAGUGGCAAGCGUUAUCCGGAAUUAUUGGGCGUAAAGCGUCCGCAGGCGGCCUUUCAAGUCUGCUGUUAAAGCGUGGAGCUUAACUCCAUUAUGGCAGUGGAAACUGAUCGGCUUGAGUAUGGUAGGGGCAGAGGGAAUUCCCGGUGUAGCGGUGAAAUGCGUAGAUAUCGGGAAGAACACCAGUGGCGAAGGCGCUCUGCUGGGCCAUUACUGACGCUCAUGGACGAAAGCCAGGGGAGCGAAAGGGAUUAGAUACCCCUGUAGUCCUGGCCGUAAACGAUGAACACUAGGUGUCGGGGGAAUCGACCCCUUCGGUGUCGUAGCUAACGCGUUAAGUGUUCCGCCUGGGGAGUACGCACGCAAGUGUGAAACUCAAAGGAAUUGACGGGGGCCCGCACAAGCGGUGGAGUAUGUGGUUUAAUUCGAUGCAACGCGAAGAACCUUACCAGGGUUUGACAUCCUGAGAACCUCUUAGAAAUUUGAGGGUGCCUUCGGGAAUUCAGUGACAGGUGGUGCAUGGCUGUCGUCAGCUCGUGUCGUGAGAUGUUGGGUUAAGUCCCGCAACGAGCGCAACCCACGUUUUUAGUUGCCAGCAUUUAGUUGGGCACUCUAGAAAGACCGCCGGUGAUAAACCGGAGGAAGGUGUGGAUGACGUCAAGUCAUCAUGCCCCUUACACCCUGGGCUACACACGUACUACAAUGCUACGGACAAAGGGCAGCAAACUCGCGAGAGCUAGCAAAUCCCAUAAACCGUGGCUCAGUUCAGAUCGUAGGCUGCAACUCGCCUACGUGAAGUAGGAAUCGCUAGUAAUCGCAGGUCAGCAUACUGCGGUGAAUACGUUCCCGGGCCUUGUACACACCGCCCGUCACACCAUGGAAGUUGGCCAUGCCCGAAGUCGUUACUCCAACCCUUGUGGAGGAGGACGCCGAAGGUGGGGCUAAUGACUGGGGUGAAGUCGUAACAAGGUAGCCGUACCGGAAGGUGCGGCUG